ACCGGAUCCCAUCAGAACUCCG
rnacentral:snRNA from 1 species